rnacentral:lncRNA from 1 species
CUUGGGAGCAGAUCAUAGCUGCUAGGUUAAGAAAUUGAUUCUCCCGCAGAAACAAUGGAUUUCGGUGUAGCGGAACUGUUACGUGGAGAUGCUAAGGUAAUUGUACAUUUCAAAACACGCCGGACAAUAUUGGCUGGAAAAUGACUUGGUUAAAACCUGAUGAUCUUACCAGCAUUCUGCAGGUUGAUGAAUACUAAUGAAGCUGUGGAUGUCACUGAGCAGCUUCAUUUUAAA